AAAAGACCUAACCAUCUUCAAGGCUGGCAUAGAGAAUUCAGGUUUCUUCACUGCCAAUUAUUUGAUAAUGAUGACAUACAUCCAUUAAGUAUGCUUUCCCCUAGCAAGUGCUUUCCCCUUUUCCUAAGACUGUUGCAUUUUUUUUUUUUUUCAUGCAUGAAAAAGACUUUUUUCCUUCUUUUUCUCCUACCCUCUCUGCCUCCUUUGUAAAAUAUUAUUCUGGAGCUCAAAAGCACUUAGUGGAGUUUCUUUUUUUUUUUCUUCAUCAAAAGAAAUAAACCCCUGCUUGCCUCACUUGGCACAGCCUUUAGUGAGGAUAUGGUUGACUUGACAGCUGGUAUGUCAGCAAAGUUAAACAGAACUCAUGGAUUUUGAAGCUUUUUCAUUCCUGGCGAGACAGUGAUUGCAACUCCUGUGCUGUUUUGCAAGCAAGUGAAGCCAGUGAUUCAUUCCCUCACAUCAACACACAGCCAGAGCCUUAUGAAAGUAAUUCAGUACAGCAAGGUUUAUUGGUAACAUUUAAAAAAUUGUCCAUACUCAGAAGAUAUCCAUCUCCACUUUUACCUUGCAGCAGCACCGAAGACAAAGAGCUUGUAACUACGUGCAACAAUGAUGUGUAUGUGUAACAAAUAAUAAUAAUAAUAAAGUAACUUAAAUAAGCA
rnacentral:lncRNA from 1 species